rnacentral:lncRNA from 1 species
AAAAAAAGCUCGCGUUUACACCACACGCCGACCGAAGAGCGAUGGAGGAGCUGCCGUCGGCGGUGGUGCUGGAGAUACUGGGCCGGCUGGGCGACGCGGGCGACCUGGCCCGGUGCCGGCUGGCCUGCCGCGCCCUCCGCUCGCUCUCCUACCACGUCNUUUUUUCUACCCAUUUUUUGUUAUGGUACGGAUAAAAUAUAUCAACUACCAAGACUCUACCAGGUACACAGACAUCUUUAGUCUUAGUCCAGUGAUAUUCCAUCCGGAGGCGUUCUGGGACGUGGGGGAAUCGAACUCAACUACAUGCACUUCAAAUAGGAGUAGGGAUGCAAACGGGGCGGAUCCGGAGGCGGGAGAGUUUUUCCACCUCCCGCUUUAUUUCUUAUCUGGACGGGGCGAAUCCGGGGGCGGGAGAGUUUCCCCACCUCCCGCUCUAUUUCUUAUCUGGACGGGACGGAUUCGGGGCGGGUUAUUUUUUAUUUUAUUUUUGGCUCCCACUUACCGCUCCAUUCGGGGCGGGAGCGGGGUGGGAGCGGAUUUUUAACGGAUCGGGGUAGAUUGAAGGAAGAAAAGAGUCUCCCACCUUCCGCUUCAUUUACUUGGCGGAUCGGGACGGAUUCGGAGCGGGUUAUAUUUUUCUAUAUUUUUUGUUCCCAUUUACCACCCCAUUCGGGGCGGAUCGGGGCGGAGCUCCACCAACCCGGAUCCAUUUGCAUCCCUAAAUAGGAGUUCUAUUCUUGGGUAAUGGGCUCGAGUGCGUUGUAAGGUGUUCUUGUGUGACCGAAAAUUAUGAGUUCAUAGAUAGACUAACAUAUUCACUGACCAGAUAUUCUAACUUUGAAGUUUGAAUAAGACAUUCAUUCUUGAUUUAUAAUCCUCAUCUACCAAAUCCCAAUCAUUAUUUUUAAAUAAAUUAAAAAAAUAUAGACUAUAUUUUUUUUUUGUUUGAAUGUAGAAAUAAGAUAUUCAAUGAUACAAAAUUAGUUUUUUAAAAAUUUUGAAAAAUAGACACAAUGCCUUUGUAUUCCCAACCAAUUAAAUUGUGAUCCUAAUAAGGGCUAAGCUUCAUCUGUUUCAUUAUAAUUUUUUUUAAUUUUUUUAUUUAGAGAUGGACGACGAAGUCAAGCUGUUAUAUAGAAGGAAGAUCAUACAUAGGGAUGUCAACGGUCGGGUUCUUGUCGGAUUUUUAAAAAUCCGAACCUGAAUUUGAAAACCAAAUUAAAAUCCGUAUCCGUACCCGAAUCCGGCGGGUUUUAAAAAUCCAUAUUUAUAUCCGUACCCGACCAAAAAUUCGAAACUCGAAUCCGGACCCGGACCCGAUGGGUACUAAAAAUCCAUAUCGUUGAAUGAAGAUCUAAGAGAUAAAAAUUAUUAAAUAUUUUAUAUAUUAUAUAAAUAAAUAAAAAUAAAGUAUGCAUAUAUAUAAUUUAUUCUGGUUCGGGUCGGGUUCGGGUCGGGUUCUGGUUCGGGUCGGGUAAAUACAAAAUUUAUACCCGUAUCCAUAUCUGUCGGAUUUUUAUUUUUUAUAUCCAUAAUCGAAUCCAUACCCGUUUAGCUCGAAUAAACCCGACCCAUUCGAGUUUGGAUUCGGAUAAUAUUUUGGAUGUCCAUACCCAUGAUUGACAUUCCUAAUCACACAUCCCCAGCCCAAAGUGAGCGAGUCCUCUUUUUUUCUCCGAACUCUUUCCACAGCGCGGGAUUAUCUCGCUCCCCGUCCUCCCAUCCGGGGAGCGGACGAAAAAAAAAAAAGCUCGCGUUUACACCACACGCCGACCGAAGAGCGAUGGAGGAGCUGCCGUCGGCGGUGGUGCUGGAGAUACUGGGCCGGCUGGGCGACGCGGGCGACCUGGCCCGGUGCCGGCUGGCCUGCCGCGCCCUCCGCUCGCUCUCCUACCACGUCCCCUCCGUCCGCCUCCGCUGCUCCCCCUCCGCCGCCGCCGGCUCCGCCUCCACCUCCGCCUCCGCCCUCCCCUUCAAAACCCUCGCCCUCAACC